UGGGCCGCGGGGCGGGGCUCCAGAAGGCGGGGGGGCCGGCGUCUGACAGCUCCAGUCAGGCAGGGCCGCGCCGACGCGCAGCCUGAGAGCUCGGCGACCCUGGCAGUGGCCAAAUGGCCAGUACCCGGAGAGGGUUGGGGCACUCGCUAGUUUCUCGAUAAACGUUUACAAAGAGGGGAGGAGAAGGCACAAGAAGAUGAAGAAUGGCUGGAGAAGAGGAAGGUGUCAUCUUCUGAGAGGGAGAGAAAAGAAUGGGAAUUCAGUUCUUUUUUCUUUUCUUUUUCUUUUUGCAUACUCUGGGCUGACCCCACGGCCUAGUGACUUGUGAAUGUGGGAAUGGUGGUUCAGGGAGGUGGUGGGAGCUGGGGUCACAUUGCAAAGGUGGUGAGAAAAUAUCCAAGAAGCACUUGAAAAGAUGGGCAAUUCAAGUCAAAACCACCAUGAGAUACCACUUCACGCCCACGAGCAUGGGUAGGAUCCAGAAAGGGGAAAUCAGCAAGUGCUUGCUGGCCAAGAUGUGGAGAAGUCACGCCCCUCUUUCCCCGGCCACUAGAAAGUGGUGCUGCCACUCUGGAGAAGAGUUAGUUGGUUUCAUGAUAAAUUACACCUAGAAUAACCAUAUUACCACUCAGGUGUAUCUCCAAGUAACUGAGCACAGGUGUUCAAGCCAUCUCUUUUCACAAAUGUUCGUGGCAGCACUGUUCACAAUGGCCAGAAGGUGGAAGCAACCAAACUGCCCAACUAUGGAGGAAUAGAAGAAUGACAUGUGAAAGGUACCUGUGAGGGAAUAUUAUGCUGCCAUGUAAAGGAAGGAAGUGCUGACACACCCUGCAGUGAACCUGGAGAACUUGAUGCUUUAGGGCUGGGGUGCUUGUAGCUCAGGGGCAGGGUGCUUGCGUAACAUGCAAAAGACCCUGGGUCCCAUCCCGAGCACCAUGGAAGAAUAAAAAUAAAAAGGACACUUA